CCACAAACGUGCUGAUUUUGCAUCCGAAUUGUUUUAUCUUUAUUAUUUUUGACUUUAUUUUGCAACACACUCCUUCUCUGCGGUUUUAAUUUUUUAUCAUGUACUACCCUAUUAAGUUUUUAUCGCUACAAAAAGCUGAACUAGAUUAUGAAGUUACUGUUCGUGAUGGUACUGGGGGAGAUUCGGUUAGAGAACUUCGGAAACAGAUAUGUAGUUAAAUUAUCUUCUAUCGUACAAAAAACAAAGUUAUAAUUUUAAUCGUAUCUAUUCUAAACACUAUAAUCACUACACUAAACCUAAAAUUACUUCUAAUAGAACCCCACAAGACAGUCACAAUUUAUACGUUAAUAAAAUGGUACAUAAAGUAUUUUAAACUAUUAAAUUAAUUAACUAUAAAGUAUAACUUAGACUAAUGUUAUAAGAAUGUUACUACGACUAGGUAAAGUAAAUCAAUUUGUUAAUAAUUAAACUUCGUUGAUUAUAGCUAAAUAUAUUUUACUUUAAACAAUUUUUUUUAAAAUCACCUAAAACUAAAUGCACUAAUACAUAAUAUAAACUAAACUAAAUAAUAAAAACUAAACUUAAUAAUAUAAAAUAAUAAACUACAAAGAAUAAAUUAUUAGUUCAACUUAAAUUCUAUAACUGUAAUUAAAAUUAUAUAACAAAUUUGUAAAAAUCAACUAAAACUAAAUGCACUAAAUGUAACUUAAACAAAUACAUAAUAUUAUAAACUAAAAACUAAACUAAAUAAUGUAAAGUACCCUCUUACUACUACUACCCAUAACUAUUGCUUUUCUAUUUUUCAAUUAUUGGUCUACCCCAAUAGUUUAUAUGAUGAUGGUCUACCCCAUACAUCGUAUUCCUACCAUAUUAAAUCUAUUAUGACUAUCGGCCCUACACCGAUGGUUAUAAACGAAACUUUUGAUCGUGGUUCUACCCCAUAGAUCCCUUCUGUAUGCUAAAGGCCCUACACCUUUGGUAUUCUACGGAGCGGUGCAACUCCUUAAAUAAGCCUUUGCAAGAGCGGUUGAUUACUCUAUAAGUAAGCCUUAAAAUCACAAAUAUAACUUAUGUAUUUAUCCUUUCUAAUAUUCAAUCUAUCAAUUAAUAGUUAUGUGUAGUUAGUAAUCGCUCGAUUUCAGCUUUAUCCUCUACCAGCCAUGACUGAACUGGGUGAGCGUUCUGUGCACUGUAUGCAGAAUACUCAGGUCGAAAGGACGCUGACGCACAGAUGUCUAUAAAUGUGAUGUCGGCUAUUUAAUGUAAGGAAGAAUGAAAAGUGAGGGAUGAUUACAUUAUGAAUGAAGACGAAUGAAAGAGAAACUCAGAUCAGUUGUUAGCAAGAGCGUAAGCAGCGGAUUUUUCCUAGGAAAAAUCCUACGCUAAAAAGGGGGGUACUGUAACGUUGUACGUUAUAUUUUGAAUAUUUAAAAAUACUAGACUUGCUAUAUCUCGGCCGCGCGCCGCGAGCCGUGAGCCGUUGACGGGUGACGGAAACCGGUUCGGCGAACUAUCCCUCCUAUGAGGCGACGCGAGCAGAGCCGGCGGUCAAUCGCGAGACGGUCACUAGCACGACGCUGCGAGCCGAUACAGUCUACUACUACUACUGGUCUAUGUACAUUUUUAACUCGCGAUUUUAUUGCAAAUAAUUUAACCGUUAAUAAACUAUUGUGCUUUUAAAAUAACUUUUAAAGUCAGUGUAUACCCCAGAUCGGGGUUCAAGUACCUGACUACCUCCAGUGCACCUACCGUAGUGCACCUACCCUAAGUGCACCUACCUACGCGCUUGUCUACCUACGUGCCUGUGUCUACCUACGUGCCUGUGUCUACCUACGUGCCUGUGCCUAUCUACGUGCCGCGCCUAUCUACGUGUCCUGCAUCUACCUGCGCGUCCGGCAUCUACUAGCGCGCUGCACACGUACCCCGCCUGACCGCUGCCGAGCUGCCUGACUAUACAGGGUAGUAGUGUUCUAUAGCGGGCCAGAACUUAACGCGAGCUCGAUUAUUCUAAACCCACUCCCGGCUCUGCCGAUCUUUUGGUACAAUAUAGACUUAUACCAUUUAC